UGCUCAGUAACACGUGGAUAACCUACCCUUAGGACCGGAAUAACCCCGGGAAACUGGGGAUAAUACCGGAUAAGCCAUAGACGCUGGAAUGCCCUAUGGUUCAAAGCUCCGGCGCCUAAGGAUGGAUCUGCGGUCUAUCAGGUUGUAGUGGGUGUAACGUACCUACUAGCCGACGACGGAUACGGGUUGUGAGAGCAAGAGCCCGGAGAUGGAUUCUGAGACACGAAUCCAGGCCCUACGGGGUGCAGCAGGCGCGAACACUUUACAAUGCGGGAAACCGCGAUAAGGGAACCCCGAGUGCCAGCAUCAAAUGUUGGCUGUCCAGAUGAUUAAAAAUCAUUUGUUAGCAAGGGCCGGGCAAGACCGGUGCCAGCCGCCGCGGUAACACCGGCGGCCCGAGUGGUAGCCGUUUUUAUUGGGUCUAAAGGGUCCGUAGCCGGCCUGAUAAGUCCUUUGGGAAAUCUGGCAGCUUAACUGUCAGGCUUCUAAGGGAUACUGUCAGGCUUGGGACCGGAAGAGGUAAGGGGUACUCCAGGGGUAGGAGUGAAAUCUUGUAAUCCCUGGGGGACCAUCUGUGGCGAAGGCGCCUUACCAGAACGGGUCCGACGGUGAGGGACGAAAGCUAGGGGAGCAAACCGGAUUAGAUACCCGGGUAGUCCUAGCUGUAAACGAUGCUCGCUAGGUGUCAGACACGGUGCGACCGUGUUUGGUGCCGCAGGGAAGCCGUUAAGCGAGCCACCUGGGAAGUACGGUCGCAAGGCUGAAACUUAAAGGAAUUGGCGGGGGAGCACUACAACGGGUGGAGCCUGCGGUUU
rnacentral:rRNA from 1 species